rnacentral:rRNA from 1 species
AGAUUGAACGCUGGCGGAAUGCUUUACACAUGCAAGUCGAACGGCAGCACGGGGGCAACCCUGGUGGCGAGUGGCGAACGGGUGAGUAACACAUCGGAACGUGCCCAGUCGUGGGGGAUAACGUAGCGAAAGCUACGCUAAUACCGCAUACGAACUCUGGUUGAAAGCGGGGGAUCGCAAGACCUCGCGCGAUUGGAGCGGCCGAUGGCAGAUUAGGUAGUUGGUGGGGUAAAAGGCUCACCAAGCCGACGAUCUGUAGCUGGUCUGAGAGGACGACCAGCCACACUGGGACUGAGACACGGCCCAGACUCCUACGGGAGGCAGCAGUGGGGAAUUUUGGACAAUGGGCGCAAGCCUGAUCCAGCCAUUCCGCGUGCAGGAUGAAGGCCCUCGGUUGUAAAACUGCUUUUUGUACGGAACGAAAAGGCUUCCUCUAAUACGGGAAGCUCAUGACGGUACCGUAAGAAUAAGCACCGGCUAACUACGUGCCAGCAGCCG